GAGUAACACGUAUCCAACCUGCCGAUGACUCGGGGAUAGCCUUUCGAAAGAAAGAUUAAUACCCGAUGGCAUAGUUCUUCCGCAUGGUAGAACUAUUAAAGAAUUUCGGUCAUCGAUGGGGAUGCGUUCCAUUAGGUUGUUGGCGGGGUAACGGCCCACCAAGCCUUCGAUGGAUAGGGGUUCUGAGAGGAAGGUCCCCCACAUUGGAACUGAGACACGGUCCAAACUCCUACGGGAGGCAGCAGUGAGGAAUAUUGGUCAAUGGACGAGAGUCUGAACCAGCCAAGUAGCGUGAAGGAUGACUGCCCUAUGGGUUGUAAACUUCUUUUAUACGGGAAUAAAGUGAGGCACGCGUGCCUUUUUGUAUGUACCGUAUGAAUAAGGAUCGGCUAACUCCGUGCCAGCAGCCGCGGUAAUACGGAGGAUCCGAGCGUUAUCCGGAUUUAUUGGGUUUAAAGGGAGCGUAGGCGGACGCUUAAGUCAGUUGUGAAAGUUUGCGGCUCAACCGUAAAAUUGCAGUUGAUACUGGGUGUCUUGAGUACAGUAGAGGCAGGCGGAAUUCGUGGUGUAGCGGUGAAAUGCUUAGAUAUCACGAAGAACUCCGAUUGCGAAGGCAGCCUGCUGGACUGUAACUGACGCUGAUGCUCGAAAGUGUGGGUAUCAAACAGGAUUAGAUACCCUGGUAGUCCACACAGUAAACGAUGAAUACUCGCUGUUUGCGAUAUACAGUAAGCGGCCAAGCCGAAAGCGUUAAGUAUUCCACCUGGGGAG
rnacentral:rRNA from 1 species